rnacentral:tRNA from 7 species
ACUCCCAAAGCUAGGAUCCUAAUUUAGACUAUUGUUUGCCGGGCUCUGCCU